CAGGCCCUGUGGCUGGUGUUAAUUGAGAUAAUUGUGUGGUAUGAGGCUGAGCCACCGCUAUGCCUGUCCAGUUAUUCCUAUCAUGGGGUAACAGGGUGGCACACAGAUUCCACAGAGAUUUUACAGGGAGCAGAGGGCUGGAAAUGUAUCCCGGCACAUCACAGUGGCUGUAAUCCCCGGAGGACUUCCAAGUUGCUGGAUACGGACAACUCAAACUGGACAAGAAAGGGAAGAGAGAAGGGGGAUGGCACACAGCACAGGGCCACAAGCCGGCCUUGAACCGAUGGCCACUGCAGCAAGGACUCAGCCUUGGUACAUGCAGCACCAGCUCUACCAGGAUUCCCGCCACUUCAGUCUCCAAUCUCGUUUCACGGCAACUGGCUCUCAACAAGGGGCUCUGAUGGUGGCGUUGGAGGAGGAGGAGGAGGAGGAGGUGAAGGAGGCGUUCAGGGUUGAGAGGAAUUGUUCCUUGAGAACAGAGAAUAUCUACAUUACAUGAGGACAGAAUGUUCUGAAAGUAAGGAGGAACACGUGAAGAUUGAACUAUUCAUGUUCAUUGUGUGUGUGUGUGUGUGUGUUUGUGUGGGAGGGUGGGUCCCCUGUCAGUCAGAUCAAGUAGGUGGCAAUUUUCUGUGUGUGUAAGAGGGAGAGAGAUUGCACAGGCCUGUGUGAUUUUGUGACAGUUUUAGUCAGCUAAACAUACCAAAUCUGUGUCAAGUGUGUCAACGUACUGCAUACAGCUCCCACAGGUUUAUGACACUGCAGGUGGGAAAGCCUUCAGAUUACUUCAGUUGUGAUUUAUUCUGUGUAAUGUCCUCUGUAAAGUACACUGACAAGAUUGUUUUACACCUGAUUGCGCUGGAUGGGAUUCCUGACAUUAUUUGCAGAGCUGUACGUCCCACAGUACAAUAAAAGGUUAUUGAUACAAUAUGGAUUUUUCAGUGAGUGUUUCGUAUAAAGGAAUUGAUUUAUUCAGUUUGCCCUUCUGCAGGAAGGUCAUUAUUAAACAAAAAACACCAUAAUCAUCUAAUAUCCAAUGAAACACAGAUGCACAUACGCUUCAUAAAACAUUGAUUAUUUGACAGCUAAAUGGGCCUUUUAUAGCUCUCUCCCGCUGCAUUUUGAUAAG